CGGGGAUUGUACACACCGCCCGUCAAGUCACGAAAGCUGGCAACACCCGAAGUCAGUGGCCCAACCAUUUGGAGGGAGCUGCCGAAGGUGGGGUUGGUAAUUGGACU
rnacentral:rRNA from 1 species